ACGCCCGUAUCCAUUUUCCACUACUUCUUUCCGCAAUUUUCAUUCCCUUUACUUUUGUCAAGCGUGGUCGAAAGACUCGUAGCCAUUGCAUCCUAGGAUACGUCAUGUUUUCUGUUUGUUUUAAAUUUGUAUCAGUGCACAAAAAACUUGUGCAUAAUCGUGACGUGUUGCAGCCAAACUCUCUGAAAAAUGGAUUCAACAAAUUAUGGAGGAUACAUUUUACUCCAUAUUAUAGUCGUUGGUCUAUCAAAAGAUCAUCCACUGACAGCUCCUGAUGCCUUGGAAUUGGCUUAUAAAUUUCAAGACGGUGCAAAACAAUGAAGCAUCUAUGGUUCUUUGUGCUAACUUCGUCUCACUCAUUGUCUUGGGAAUAUUGUCCUGCCACAAGGUUGCAUUCCUCUAAAUCUGGCUAUUAGCACUUUGGCUUCAUUGAAAGAGCUUGCACGAUAGAAUCUUUUUUCCUGGUCACCUCAUUCAAGUUGUUUUUUCAGCAGAACUAAACUUUAAGCAAAUGGAGCUUUAUCACGCUAUACCCAUGUUCUUCUAUUUGCUGGCUUCUUGUCACCGUAGGGGUUCCUCCUUAAUAUCAACUUUGAAAUUUGAUAAGUAUUGGGAUUGUAACAUUGGCCACUUUUACCAUUAUUUGGUAUCUAUUUUUACAAUUUCAUAAUGGGCUUUUGCAACAAGUUCUCUCCAGAGUCUUUCCUUUCAACCGCGGAAUUUUUGAAGAUUAUGUUGCCAACUUCUGGUGCACAUUAAAUGUUUUGGUCAAAAUCCGACGAAUAAUGGAACCCACCGCUAUCGCUAGAUAUUGUUUACUGCUAACAGCUCUUUUCAGUUUCCCUUGUGGACUUCAUCUAUAUUUUAAGAACAGUUCGCGUAAUUUGCAUAUCUCUUUGAUCAACGUGUCUCUUGCAUUUUUCCUAUUCUCCUAUCACGUCCUUGAGAAAUCAAUCCUUUUAGUAACGUUGCCUGCUUCCAUAGCUAGUCCUUAUUUCUCAUUCACUGCCUUCUGGUUUCUCUCCAUUUCCCAUUUCUCUAUGUUACCACAGUACGCCAAAGAUGAUUUGAUUAUCCCUGAUGUGGUUGACUUGCUCUCUAUUGUUUGCUGGCUCAUAGCAGCUUGAUAUUAGAUUUGCCUCAAUCUAUGGAGUUAAAAUGUCUAGCUGGUAUUUCGGCGAUUGGAAGUGCCGUUUUGGCUGUUAUGUUUCUCACAUGAUAUGGUUGAAAGAUAUUGAUACAAACCUUUUCAUUA